CCUACGGGAGGCAGCAGUGAGGAAUAUUGGUCAAUGGACGAGAGUCUGAACCAGCCAAGUAGCGUGAAGGAUGACUGCCCUAUGGGUUGUAAACUUCUUUUAUAUGGGAAUAAAACGUUCCACGUGUGGGAUUUUGUAUGUACCAUAUGAAUAAGGAUCGGCUAACUCCGUGCCAGCAGCCGCGGUAAUACGGAGGAUCCGAGCGUUAUCCGGAUUUAUUGGGUUUAAAGGGAGCGUAGGUGGAUUGUUAAGUCAGUUGUGAAAGUUUGCGGCUCAACCGUAAAAUUGCAGUUGAAACUGGCAGUCUUGAGUACAGUAGAGGUGGGCGGAAUUUGUGGUGUAGCGGUGAAAUGCUUAGAUAUCACGAAGAACUCCGAUUGCGAAGGCAGUUCACUGGACUGCAACUGACACUGAGGCUCGAAAGUGUGGGUAUCAAACAGGAUUAGAUACCCUGGUAGUG
rnacentral:rRNA from 1 species